rnacentral:rRNA from 1 species
AACGAACGCUGGCGGCAGGCCUAACACAUGCAAGUCGAGCGCCCUCUUCGGAGGGAGCGGCGGACGGGUUAGUAACGCGUGGGAACGUACCCUUUGCUACGGAACAACAGUUGGAAACGACUGCUAAUACCGUAUGUGCCCUACGGGGGAAAGAUUUAUCGGCAAGGGAUCGGCCCGCGUUGGAUUAGGUAGUUGGUGGGGUAAUGGCCUACCAAGCCUACGAUCCAUAGCUGGUUUGAGAGGAUGAUCAGCAACACUGGGACUGAGACACGGCCCAGACUCCUACGGGAGGCAGCAGUGGGGAAUCUUGGACAAUGGGGGCAACCCUGAUCCAGCCAUGCCGCGUGAGUGAUGAAGGCCUUAGGGUCGUAAAGCUCUUUCAGCUGGGAAGAUAAUGACGGUACCAACAGAAGAAGCGACGGCUAAAUACG